CCCGCAACAAGGAAAUAGCACGUCAGACAAAAGCCGAAAUAACACAACACUGAAACUACUCAAUUAUCAGCCUCGCCCUUCUUUUCACUGUUCAAAUAUUGAAAAACAUUUUUAAAAACGCAAGAGAGACGAGAUGUCAGAGCGGCGGAAACUGUAGGAUUCUAUCUUAGAUGACUCAACAGCUGUGUGUGGUGAUCAGUCCUCAUGUGAUCUGCAGUCAUCAUAACGCCGCCGCGACCACACUCGUCAAGAUGUGGCCGAUAGCGUCUCUUUUGUUGGCCUUAGCCCUACAGGGUGUGUGGAGCGAAACAAGCAGUAAUGAUACAAAGGUGGAUUUUCCGUGCAAAGUGGUUGAUGGGGAUCAUGUCUACGAUCUCAGCGAACUGGCAGCGAGAGACUACUGGAAGUAUGAUGAGACCCUGCACACUGGUCUGUUCCAAAGUAGAGUGAUGUACAUGAGCUUCUGUCACCCCCUCAGGAACGCCCCAGUAGUGUGUGAGGGGGAGAAUGUGGGUGUUUGUGAGAGCAAGAAGGAUGACACAGGGAGUGAGGUACCCCUAGGGAGUCGGGGGCAGGUGUCCUCUGUGGGCCCGGCCAUCACGGAGGAUGGCUGGUUAAGCUACGUGUUUGAAUCUGGUGCUAAGUGCAACAAGAGCAUUCAUGAUACCACAUACAAAACCUAUGUCCAUCUGUAUUGUGCUAGAGAUACUGCAAGUGAGACUUCUGGACCUAUGCUGAUGAGCUCUCCAGGAUGCGAGAGGACUUUUGCGUGGAUGACAAAGGCAGCAUGUCCUGUCAAGGCAGAGAUCAAAAGGGAAAGUUGUACAGUGAAGUUCUCAAACUCGGAUUACAUUCUGAAUCUACAUACGCUACACACGGAAAAAUAUUACAAUGUCUCAGGCUCAAAAGCCAAAUACGAACUUAAUUUCUGCGGCCCAGUCACUGGUGGUCAUUGUGGGUCAGAUGCAGCCACGAUGUGUGAUGUGACAGAUCCAUCAGCUCCUGUUGUGUUUGGCACUUUGGAAGGUAUGGACAUGAAGUGGGAAAAUGAAGCCCUUAUUUUAGCCUACAAGAAUCAGGAAAAUAGUGUUAAAAUCAUGUUGUUUUGUGAAAGAACUGCUACAUCUCCUAUGAUCUACUUUGUGGAGAAGAAAAACAAAGAAGUAGUAUUUUCUGUCAAAACUGCAGCAGUUUGCACUCCAGAUGAAGCUCCAGAAUGUGUCAUAGAGGAUGACAAAGGCAAUGUUUAUGACCUGAGAUCUCUGAGGAAGGAGCAAGGAAAUUGGGAGGUUCUUGAUGAACGAGAUGACCACAAGGCUUCCUCUGACAGAAGUGAAGGAAUUCCAGAUCAGCUGUACCACAUCAACGUUUGUGGGCAAGUGAAUGAAGGAAGGCACUAUCAUUGUCCUCCAGGACCUAUUGGUGCUUGCCAGACCAGCUUUGAUGCCUUGACAGCCCACAACCUGGGUUUCCUUACUUCACAUCCAAGCAUUAAUGAGGAUGGUUCUAUUACCAUUACAUACACAGGUGGAGAUCAAUGUCAGGAAGGAAAACAUGCGCGCUCUACAAGAAUCAACUUAAUUUGUAAUGACAUUGAAUAUGAACCAGUAUUGGUAGAAGAAACUGGUACCUGUGAAUACAUAUUCACAUGGUUAACACCAGCUGCUUGUCCACGUCACUUAAAAAAAGGGACAAAUUGUCUCGUAGAAGAUCCUCUUUAUGGAAAUAUGUAUGAUCUAAAUCCAUUGAGAAAUCAAAUUAAAGAUUAUAAUGUUACUGAUGGAGAGCAUGACUAUUUGAUAAAUAUUUGUGGACCCCUUGUAUCAAAAUGCAAAGGAGAGGGCCAAUCUGGUGUUUGUCAAAUCAAAGGAGAUGAACAGUUUAGUGGAGGAAUGGCUACUAGUAACAUCACAUUUAAUGAUGGGACAUUAGUGAUGAAUUACAAUGGUGGAACUGGAGGCUGUGCAGGCAAUAAUACUAGAUCUGCCCAAAUAAUUUUCUUAUGUGAUCAGAAUGAAAGUGGCAGAGAUGGUCCUCACUUCUUCCAUGAAGAUGAAACUUGUACAUAUCACUUUACUUGGCUGACAAUGCAUGCAUGCCCUCCAUUUAGUGUUGUAGACUGCAGUGUAGUUACAGCUAAUGGGACAAUUUAUGACCUUAAUGAAUUGUCAUCAUCCAGUAUGAAUGAAGAAUAUUCUACAUCAGAUGGAAAUAAAAAGUUUGUAUUGAACGUUUGUAGGUCAGUUGUCCAUAACAAAGAGAGUAGGUGUCCGUACAAUGCAGGGGCAUGUGUAAUUGAUUUGAAGCACAAAAAUAAGGCAUUGAAUAUCGGGAAGGUUCACAGUGGACCAUAUAUAGAGAAUGGCAAUUUGAAAAUAAAGUACAGUGGUGGCGAUCCAUGUGGUAAUUCUACCCAGCUUUCAGAAACUAUUAUUCAGUUCAACUGUGAUAAGGAAGAGCUUUAUGCAUAUCCACAGCUGGUAGCACAAGAGGGUUGCAAAUACAUAUUUGAAUGGAACACACCUAUUGCAUGUCCCAUGCCACUUAUAGACCAUACCACAAGUGCUCCAGAAACCAAGGGUAAUUGUACUGCUAAAAAUGAUUUUACUGGCUAUGUCUUUAACCUGAAUCCUUUAAAAAAGAAAACAGGCUAUGAAAUUCAGGAUAGUGGUGAAGUCCAUCUUGUUUUAAAUGUCUGUGAUGAAGUUGAUACAGAAAGAUGUCCAGACAAGGGAACAGGAGCUUGUUCUUAUACCCAUGAUGACCAUACAAAUAUUGCAAGUGCUGGUAAAGCAAAUGCAAAACUGCAGUAUCACCUUGGUUUUCUUUCCCUUUAUUAUACUGGUGGACAAGCUUGUGGAAAUGGAGAAAAACGUUCCACUCUUAUAAGCUUUAUAUGUGGAGCUGAAGAUGCACCAGAUAUACCUGUCCUUAUACACGAAGAUCUAGAUAAAUGUAUCUAUUAUAUCAACUGGUAUACUGACUUGGCUUGUGAACGUAGGAUCAAUUGCUUUGUGGAUACAUGGGAACAGCGCCUGGACUUGACACCUCUGAUCAGGUCAACUAGCAACUAUGAAGUUUCAAAUCCUGAGAAUCCAAAGCAGAAGUUUUACUUAAAUGUUUGCAGGCCACUCAACCAUAUUGUUGGCCUGAACUGUCGCCCAGGUUCCUCUGCAUGUCUUUCUGUGUCAGAGUCGGAAGCCUUAAGUCUUGGCCAACCAAUUACAACUCCGCAAUAUAUAUAUUCAGAUGAAAUUCAAAUGAUAUAUUCUCAUGGAUCUAAGUGCUUAACAAACUCUGACAUAGGAAUUUCUUCACGAAUCAUAUUUAUUUGUGAUGUAAAUGCAGGCAAGGGAAGCCCAACAUACAAAAAUGUAACCCAUGAUUGCCAGUACCUAUUUGAGUGGCGAACAGCACUUGCAUGUGAAAACCGCCAAGAAGUUACUGAUUCAGGCCCAGUGUGCCAAAUCCAGUUUAAUGCUGCAAAAACAAAUGUGAAUCUGAAACCUUUGAACAGACCAGAUGGAUAUUCUGUUAAGUUUGCAGAUAAGGAGUACAAAAUUAAUAUUUGUGGGGCAGCCUGUGGUGAAUCUGGUGUAUGCACAAGUGAUGGAACUAGCUUUGGUCUGAGCAGUAAGUCUGACUUAAAUUGGGAUUAUGACAAGUUGAAGCUCAUGUACUAUGGUGGUGACAGUUGCAGUGAUGCACUGUCAGGACAAAGAACCACAAUCAUAUACUUUUCAUGUAAUAUGAGUGUGGGAUUAGGAUACCCAGUUCCUGAUCCAAUAAUGAGGGACCUAGAAUGUGCGGCAAUAUUCAACUGGGAAACAAAUUUAACCUGUAUUGAAGCCAUUUACAAUAUGGAUGACUCUUCUGACAAGAAACCAAUAAAUUCUGACCCAGUUGUACCAGACAGUGAAUCUCAUGAAGCUGAAAAACCUUCUGUUGAAGAAAGCGAUAGUGAUAACCCUUCUGCAGACCAACAGCAAAAGGAACCAGAGAGUGCAUAUUCAACAGUAUCUGCUGCCAUUUCCAGUGUCCUCAUUGUCACAGGAAUCAUUUUUGUGAUUAUCCUGGUUUUGUUCAAGUCUGAGCGGGGACAGCAAGUUGUGUCAUCUGCCAGGAGAUUCUUCGGCAUGAGAGGGUAUUCAAACAUAACCCAGUCACGCAUGGAAAAUUCCUCGCUUAUAAGCCCAUCCUCCUAUGCUAGAGUGUACAGAGUGGAUGAAAGUGAUGAUGAUCUUCUUAAUGUAGUAACAUAAAACUAGGCAAUGUACUACUGUAUUUGCAUAAAAGAAAAUGAUAUUCCACAUCAAAGAAUUAAUAAGGCGGUUUAUAAAUGAAAUAAUUCUGUUUUAGUGAUAAACUCAAUCUUGUGGAUAUUAAUUUCAGCUUUCUUUUAUGCAAAUAAUAAGGGUGUAUGCAGAAAGUAUUUAACCAAACAACCAUUAACUCUGGCACCUCCACUCUGCUCUUGGAUGACAUGAUGUAAAACACCAGCAUCUACAUGGUAAAGUGGAAUUCGACGGGUGGGUAAUGUUAUGUUAUUUAUUCAUCUUAAAGUAGGUUGUGCAUCACUACAAUAUCUGUAGUGAUUUAUUUUGUUAUAGAACUGUAUUAUCAUAUUGUUGAUUUGAAGAUCCAAUAUUAAAAAGAUUAUCAGUGAUAAAGUAAUGAGCUAUAUUGCAUAUACAUAUAUGCUGAUUAUGUAUUUUUAGUUGUCCUUUGUUUGAAAUGUGGAUAUAUACCCUUCUUGUUUUAUGUAGCAAGAAAACAAACUGCUAUAUAUUUACAGUAGAUGGCUGAAUCUUAAGACUAAUUAGUUAUGAUAAAUACGUAUUUGAAAAUCAUUGUGAUUACCUUGUUUUAAAUUAGGGCAUUGUCAUUAAACUAUUUAACAGUGUUUGCUUUUAUUAGCUUCUAACUCAGUGUUUUGUUAGAUUGCUGGAAUUUGUUGUUUUUUGUUUUGUUUGAAUAUUACAUUACAUUGUCUUUGAAGUAGUCAUUGUUGUUGCUCAGCAACCUCAUAUAAUGUAAAGUCAAAGACUGCUUUUCUAAGGAAAGAAUAUAAAAUUUGUAACAUAACAGUUUUAAUUUACUUAUGUAUGAGAUGAAUUGCUCUGCCUACAGGAGAUUUUUCUUGAACAAUAUUUCAAAAUUAAUUAAUAUGUAUGAAUGCUUUUAUAUAAUUUUACAUAGACUAGAAGUUUCCAGACCCUUUUUGUGUUCACAGUCAUUUCCUUAUGUAAUGUCAUGGGAAGCUAAGUUUGAAACAACAGAGGGCACGAGUACUGUAGAAUAGAAUUCAAAAUUUGCAAGGAUAUUGAAGAUUAACAUAUUA